UUUUAUGAGAGUUUGAUCCUGGCUCAGGACGAACGCUGGCGGCGUGCCUAAUACAUGCAAGUCGAACGCUUCUUUUUCCACCGGAGCUUGCUCCACCGGAAAAAGAAGAGUGGCGAACGGGUGAGUAACACGUGGGUAACCUGCCCAUCAGAAGGGGAUAACACUUGGAAACAGGUGCUAAUACCGUAUAACAAUCAAAACCGCAUGGUUUUGAUUUGAAAGGCGCUUUCGGGUGUCGCUGAUGGAUGGACCCGCG
rnacentral:rRNA from 1 species